GUUAUGCAACUACACUGUCAAACACAUGUCUGCGUGUUUAUGUUUAUUCGACACUUAGGCUACACGUCACUUUGCGUGGUUAUCGCUACUACAUAGCGAUUAGGGGAAUGAUUCCCUACCAACUCACUAACGGGCAAACGAACGACCAUCGAAACGAACUAAUGAUGCUGCGGCCAGCGGGGGCUUGACCGAGGGAACGGGGAUGCAGCCGCAGGUGUGAGAAAUACUUCCGCUUGGUUACCACUUUGUUCCACGGGACCCAUGUUGCCCUGACGUGAGCCCGGCUGAGGAAGACGAUGAAGAGGCCGAUGGUGAGAACCCAGCAGAGGAUGGCCACAAACAUCACCCAGCCCAACGCAGGCACGCUGGAGUACUCCGUCCCACCGAUCAGAACCCAGACCAGAAGACCGCACGUCUGGAAGAGAGGGGCGGAGGUGGUUCCCGAGGGCUGGAUGGCCUACAGCUUGGAUAUGGUCGUGGCGGGAGGUCAAGGUCUUCAGCAGAAAUCGAUGAAGCAAUUGAGAGAAAGGAGUACGAGGGAGACAGCAUGCUUUUCCAUUAUUUUCAUUUUUGUUGUUUUCCGUGCUUGAAAUGAAACCCGGGCUGAUUCAAUUGACAACCAUAGAUUUAUCGAGAACAGAAUACAUAGAAAAUGUCGAGGUACUCCUCAAGCAGUACCUUCUUAAAGCGAUGAUUCUCCCAACUGCCACGCCUACUCAUAUUUAUCUAAAACAUCAAUUUGUUCUGCUCAUGCUGUCCCUUUGCAACAGGCUAGACAAGAGAGUGUGAGCUAGUACCACAUAAGAGUCAUAUUGCACCCUGAGUACUCGAUCACAUUCACAUAGUGUCUCUCUGAAGCUGUUCAUCCUGCCUUCCAUCUGCUACACACUGACCCUAUGUCUGGCUGGUUGUCAUGGCGUCGCAUGACCGAACCCUAUCCAAACUAAUAGUGUGCAUGAAGAAGAUUACUUAAAGGGCAAGGAGUAGAAGUGACCGAACGCUUGCAUUUUCUCUCUCUCUCUCUCUCUCUCUCUCUCUCUCUCUCUCUCUCUCUCUCUCUCUCUC